rnacentral:rRNA from 1 species
GAUCCUGGCUCAGGAUGAACGCUGGCGGCGUGCUUAACACAUGCAAGUCGAACGAAGCACUUAUCUUUGAUUCUUCGGAUGAAGAGGUUUGUGACUGAGUGGCGGACGGGUGAGUAACGCGUGGGUAACCUGCCUCAUACAGGGGGAUAGCAGCUGGAAACGGCUGAUAAAACCGCAUAAGCGCACAGCAUCGCAUGAUGCAGUGUGAAAAACUCCGGUGGU